rnacentral:rRNA from 1 species
UUGACGGGGCCCGCACAAGCAGCGGAGCAUGUGGCUUAAUUCGACGCAACGCGAAGAACCUUACCAAGGCUUGAAAUGCAAGUGAAGCGGUGGAAACGCCGUGGCCGAAAGGAGCUUGCACAGGUGGUGCAUGGCUGUCGUCAGCUCGUGUCGUGAGAUGUUGGGUUAAGUCCCGCAACGAGCGCAACCCUUGCCAUUAGUUGCUACGAAAGGGCACUCUAAUGGGACUGCCGGUGACAAACCGGAGGAAGGUGGGGAUGACGUCAAGUCCUCAUGGCCCUUAUAGGUGGGGCUACACACGUCAUACAAUGGCCGGUACAGAGAGUAGCCAACCCGCGAGGGGGAGCCAAUCCCACAAAGCCGGUCGUAGUCCGGAUCGCAGUCUGCAACUCGACUGCGUGAAGUCGGAAUCGCUAGUAAUCGCGGAUCAGCAUGUCGCGGUGAAUACGUUCCCGGGUCUU